AUCCGACACCCGCCACAUCCUACCGAUCCACCGCCGCGCGCCUACCCUGCCUCCUUCAGGCGCGCCGCCGCCCGCGCCUUCUCCUGGCGCCGCAGACAGACUCCUCCCGGCGCGCCACCGCCCCACCUUGCCUUCUCCCGGCGCGCCCCCGCACUGCCUCCCCCCGACGCACUGCCCCCGCCUCCUCCUGGCGUCGCCGCCCCUGCCUCCUCCUGGCCCGCCGCUGAUAUCUCGCCUCUUUCCGGUGAGAGUCCGAGCCGCAGCUGUUCGUCGCCCUGCCUUUUCCAUGCCGGCCGCCUCCUUCUCCCCCCUCCACUACGCGCCACCGCCGCCACCCAGGCGCGGCCUCGAUCCGGCGUCGCCGCCCACCACUACCAAGACCCCGGCCCGCCGCCGCCCACCAGCACAAUGUCCCUCUGCGCGUGAAUCCGACCUUCCCUCUGCUCCGGCGCGACCUUCCAUCCCCUCCGGUGCGGCCUGCCCUCUCCUCCGACGCGCCCUCCUCCAGCGCGCCUGCGCUCUGCUCCGUCGGCAUAGAGACCAAGCACCACCUCCUCCAGCGAGCUCCUCCAUCCCCAUCUUGUUCCUGAAUGCGGACGCUGCACCGCGCAGGUUGAAUUUCACCCUGCAUCCCCGACGUAGCGCUGCUCCGGCUCCUCCCCCGCUUGCUGCCAUGUCUGUCUCUCCUUCCUCCCCUGCUCUCCGUCCUUUGCAGCGGUGGACGUGGCUACUUGAUGGAGUGAAGCCGACCUCCUAGCACCGGCAGUUGCACUGCAACAUGCAAAAAAAGAACAGCCGCAAGUUCAGAAUCAGAAAAAUGAGAAGUUCAAGAAGAACAAAGGCACUGCCUUCACUCACGUGCUUGCAAACUGCUAGGUUGUAGCUUGUAUGUUGUUUGCAACUAUCUUCAAUUUCUUCAGUAGCUCGUACUCAUUUUGCCAAAAUCUAGUACUUUCAGAAUGGUAAAGUUGAUAGUUGGCCUACAGGGACAACCAUGUUGAUGGCGAUUGAAAAAGGAUUCUGAAAUAAUAUUAUUGAGACUGAAGACCAAGUUUGAUAAUGCACGAUGUCAGAGGAUUCCAGGUGUUUUUCUGAGGUGGUUGAUGGCUUCCGAGAAAUGCGUUCAUAUCUCACAAGUUUCAGGGGUUCAAGUUCAUCUAUAUAAGAAGUAAUGCCAAUUUUGUUGCACAUCUGUGUGUAAAAGAGGCGGUGAAACUUGAUGUGCUUGCUAUUUCUUUUCUUGUAACACCUAGCUACAUCACGUGGUUUCAAUCACAGUUAGUUUUGGCUGCCAUGGCCUGACACCUCCUCCAUCUCAGUGCCGCCGUCAUGACCUAGCCUACAUUUGCUGGUUGCUGCUAGCUGCUGUUGUUGCGUUCUGCCUCGCCAUCUAACUGAUGUUAGUUUUAUCUUGCUGAAUUGCAACAUUUGGAACACCAGUAAAUGUGUAUUGGUAGCUUUACUCGCCAUUUUACCAUGCAACUUCAACUUCCGCAGUUUCAGAUUUCAUGAGCUGCUCCUCACCAGUUUCAUUCAUCGGACACUUUCUCUUUCUAUUUGAAUAAUCAACAGUUUAUGAGGUUGCCAUAAAGUUCAAUUUUUUUGACUCUGCUAACUUCUAGUACAUCAGAAGCAGCAGUGACCUUUUGCUAGCAGAGCCAAAAAUGCUAGUUUAAACCUACACAUUGCAAGAUGAGUAGUUGUUAAAAUUGGGCAACAAAUGCUAAUGCCAUCAUUACGCAACACAUACAUAUUGUUUCCUCCUCAUUAGGUGCCCACAGUUCGUCAGAUGUACGGAGAGCAUGCAAAGUUUGUGAAAGAAAGUUUUAGAAACACCUUUCAGCAAAAAUAAAACACUGAAAAACCCAUUUAUCAAAUAUUAUGGACCACAACGGCGCGAGGAGGUCGAGCUUCUCUGCCAUGAUUGUGCUCGUUUUUUGGUUGAGCUUCCAUGCUCUUUAACAAAUAAGUUCAAAUAUAAUAAAUCACAAGCAUCCCUCUCCUUGUGUGCUUGCGUUUUGUGUGUGUUCGUGCCAAAAAAUAGGUGGUUUUAGAAAGAAGUUCAAAUAUAAUAAAUAAAAAAGUUCAAGAAGAUGUAACACGAUAGAAAGUUUCGUGUACGAAAUUGAUAUGUACAAAGAAAACUAUCAUAUAUGUCCUUUAUGUGACACAAUCAAUUCCUGGAAGUUUAUAUGUAGAAAAAGAAAAAAACCACUUUAGGAAAAAAAACCAAUUGAAAAUUUUACCACAAACACUACACAAAUUUACCAAAAAACUAAAUCAAUUUCCCCCCAUUUAAAUAAAAUAAAAACAAGAACAAAUUGAAACAAUAACGAAAUUCAAAGUUAAUUUUUUUUCUGUUUCUAAAAACUAAAAGCGAAGAAGUUCAAAUUGAAAGAACCAUGAAAUUCCAGAUUACAAAAUAGAGAAGUACACUACUUAUUAAAAUGGAUUUCCCUGUAUCCACAAAAGACCCUGAAGUUCAAAUUUAGAAAAUGGGGUGGUUCAAUGUCUGGUUUAAUUUUUUUCCUUUUAAAUAACAAAUUAAAAAAUCAUUUCUAAAAAAACUAAGAAGGUCAAACAAUAAUAAGAGAGAAGUACAAGGUUUCAAAACACGAAAACUUAAUGAUUCUAAAAACCAGGAAGUUCAAAAA